AAAAUAUGAAUACCAAAAACAUAUAAUUAAAAUAUAGAAUGUAUAGCAAAAAAUAUAAUAGUAAUGUGAAACCUUCUAUUGUCGCUGUUGCUGUUACGGAGGUAUAUGAAAUGAAAUUAUGUAUUUCCAAACAAAAUAAAUUUGUCUUUUUUUUGGCUGAUUAAUUGACUUUGAUGUUGUUUCUUUGUUUUGUUUUUUGUUUUUUAUGGAAUGAUUGUUUUGCCUUGAAAUGUUAAGUAUGAUUACAGGAUUAUGCUUUUGGGUUUGUUAUUACUAUUGGUUUGCACUAUGUGGGAUUAACCUUUUCAUAUUUCUUUCAUUUUAGGAUGAAGCGGAAGAGAAAGAAAAAGACCUUUAAGGCCCCUUGCACUACGAAUGAGGCUUUACAUUUGUGGGCAAGUCCCUCACUACCUCGCACUAUGGAUGGAGUAUCUUCAUCCGUUUCAUCUCCACAUAUAAUUUUUCAGGUCUAAUGAUUUUCAAGUACACGACAAGGUUGAGGAUUUUCCCGAGGGAUAACGGAAUGGGAUACGGGCACUAAGAUCCAAGUAAAAUUUGAUGAUAAGUUUCAGCCAGUGGAGGAUGAUGGCAAAAAGUUGAAGGGACAAUUGGGGUUGAUCGUGUGCAGCGGGCAUAGAGUCCCACUCACAUAUCUCAGUUGGAAUGUAAUGCAUUGGCAAGAGGUGAAGGUUUCUAUGGAUCCUCCAACAUGUCCCCUUCUAAUUUGUGCUUUGUAGGACAACUUGGUAUAUUGUCCAGAUGAAUUCAAAGAGGUUUGCAUGCGAUUUUGUAGGACAUCGUGGAAAGAUCAUAAAAGCAAGAUAAAGUCCAAGUAUUGGAUUCCAUUUAAGAAUGAUCCGAACAUUGCUUCUAAAGUACCUACUAACAUAGUGCCAACCCAGUGGAGGAAACCUGUGCAAUAUUGGGCAAGUAAAGAAGUACAUGUAUAAGUAUUCCAGUUAUCAUCUAAAAUUUUCAAAGUGUACUUGUCAUUAAAAUGUCUUAUAUUGCUCACACCACAAAUUCGUCAAUUGUAUUAGCACUAAACUACUAAAAUGACUACAUUAAAAUUCGAUUCUAAGUGUAAGAUGUUGACUUGUUAUGAUUGAAACAUAAAAAAUUAAAGUGAAAAUUGAUGUAAAAUGUAAGGGUGCAAUGUAUAUUUCUCA